rnacentral:rRNA from 1 species
GACGAACGCUGGCGGCGUGCUUAACACAUGCAAGUCGAACGGUAAGGCCCUUCGGGGUACACGAGUGGCGAACGGGUGAGUGACACGUGGGUGAUCUGCCCUGCACUUCGGGAUAAGCCUGGGAAACUGGGUCUAAUACCGGAUAGGACCACUGCCUGCAUGGGUGGUGGUGGAAAGCUUUUGUGGUGUGGGAUGGGCCCGCGGCCUAUCAGCUUGUUGGUGGGGUAAUGGCCGACCAAGGCGACGACGGGUAGCCGGCCUGAGAGGGUGACCGGCCACACUGGGACUGAGAUACGGCCCAGACUCCUACGGGAGGCAGCAGUGGGGAAUAUUGCACAAUGGGCGCAAGCCUGAUGCAGCGACGCCGCGUGAGGGAUGACGGCCUUCGGGUUGUAAACCUCUUUCAGUAGGGACGAAGCGCAAGUGACGGUACCUACAGAAGAAGGACCGGCCAACUACGUGCCAGCCGCCGCAGUAA